GUGGGGAAUAUUGGACAAUGGGCGAAAGCCUGAUCCAGCCAUGCCGCGUGUGUGAAGAAGGUCUUCGGAUUGUAAAGCACUUUAAGUUGGGAGGAAGGGCAGUAAGUUAAUACCUUGCUGUUUUGACGUUACCGACAGAAUAAGCACCGGCUAACUUCGUGCCAGCAGCCGCGGUAAUACGAAGGGUGCAAGCGUUAAUCGGAAUUACAGGGCGUAAAGCGCGCGUAGGUGGUUUUGUAAGUUGGAGGUGAAAUCCCCGGGCUCAACCUGGGAACUGCCUCCAAAACUGCAUGACUAGAGUACGGUAGAGGGUAGUGGAAUGUCCUGUGUAGCGGUGAAAUGCGUAGAUAUAGGAAGGAACACCAGGCGAAGGCGACUACCUGGACUGAUACUGACACUGAGGUGCGAAAGCGUGGGGAGCAAACAGGAUUAGAAACCCCUGUAGUCC
rnacentral:rRNA from 1 species